AGCGAACGUUGGCGGCAGGCCUAACACAUGCAAGUCGAACGAACCUUUCGGGGUUAGUGGCGGACGGGUGAGUAACACGUGGGAACGUGCCUUUAGGUUCGGAAUAACUCAGGGAAACUUGUGCUAAUACCGAAUGUGCCCUUCGGGGGAAAGAUUAAUCGCCUUUAGAGCGGCCCGCGUCUGAUUAGCUAGUUGGUUGAGGUAAUGGCUCACCAAGGCGACGAUCAGUAGCUGGUCUGAGAGGAUGAUCAGCCACAUUGGGACUGAGACACGGCCCAAACUCCUACGGGAGGCAGCAGUGGGGAAUCUUGCGCAAUGGGCGAAAGCCUGACGCAGCCAUGCCGCGUGAAUGAUGAAGGUCUUAGGAUUGUAAAAUUCUUUCACCGGGGACGAUAAUGACGGUACCCGGAGAAGAAGCCCCGGCUAACUUCGUG
rnacentral:rRNA from 1 species